rfam:Prunus persica cultivar Lovell chromosome G6, whole genome shotgun sequence.
UAGGACUUCACAUUUUCUGUUUAACAUGCACUUUCAGUUUUGUGUGUGUAUUUCAAGUGGAAGCCGAGAAAGUUGUUCUCCUCGCUAUCCGGUGCUCCGUUUAUGUGUGCCAUUUGGACGUCGGAGAACUAAAUCA